AAGCAAAAUUUUCUGCAAGAGGGCAUCUAACCCUCAAUUGAUCCCAAUCCAGAGCUGUCUUGAAAUAGAACUUCAGCCUGAACUCUAACCUAUCAAUCUCUUAAAAGGUUUGGACUUCCGGAGACAUGACAAUAGAGUAGCCGCAGCUGUUUUGGCCCUCUCUGGUCAACUAGGAAAAUCAAUGAAAAUCACCUGGAAGCUCAACAAAGUACAAGCUUUCUUCAGAAACUUACCAAGCCAUGGGAAACACACAUCCAAAAGAAAGACAAACAGAAGCUCUGGGUGACAGGAAUGAACAAGCAAAUUGAACAAAUAGCCCAAAAGUUUGUGUGGAACUACAAAAGGCCAUGGAUUACCAAACCACUUCUGAGAAAAAAAGGUAAAUUGUGGAGGUAUCGCACUCCCCUACUUCAGUUUAUACUACAAAGCAAUGGUAAUAAUAAUAAUAAUAAUAAACCCAUGGCACUGGAAUAAAAAAGACACUUGGAUCAAUGGAGCAGAAUUGAAAGCCUAGAAAUAAGCCCACAUAUAUGUAACCAUCUAUUAUAAGGCAAAGGGAUCAAAUCAAAUUCAAUGAGGUAAAGAAGGGUCUUCAGGAGAUGGUACUGAGAAAAUUGUACAACCACAGACUGGA